rnacentral:rRNA from 1 species
GCCGCGGUAAUACGUAGGGUGCAAGCGUUAUCCGGAAUUAUUGGGCGUAAAGGGCUCGUAGGCGGUUCGUCGCGUCCGGUGUGAAAGUCCAUCGCUUAACGGUGGAUCCGCGCCGGGUACGGGCGGGCUUGAGUGCGGUAGGGGAGACUGGAAUUCCCGGUGUAACGGUGGAAUGUGUAGAUAUCGGGAAGAACACCAAUGGCGAAGGCAGGUCUCUGGGCCGUUACUGACGCUGAGGAGCGAAAGCGUGGGGAGCGAACAGGAUUAGAUACCCUGGUAGUCCACGCCGUAAACGGUGGAUGCUGGAUGUGGGGCCCGUUCCACGGGUUCCGUGUCGGAGCUAACGCGUUAAGCAUCCCGCCUGGGGAGUACGGCCGCAAGGCUAAAACUCAAAGAAAUUGACGGGGGCCCGCACAAGCGGCGGAGCAUGCGGAUUAAUUCGAUGCAACGCGAAGAACCUUACCUGGGCUUGACAUGUUCCCGACGAUCCCAGAGAUGGGGUUUCCCUUCGGGGCGGGUUCACAGGUGGUGCAUGGUCGUCGUCAGCUCGUGUCGUGAGAUGUUGGGUUAAGUCCCGCAACGAGCGCAACCCUCGCCCCGUGUUGCCAGCGGAUUGUGCCGGGAACUCACGGGGGACCGCCGGGGUUAACUCGGAGGAAGGUGGGGAUGACGUCAGAUCAUCAUGCCCCUUACGUCCAGGGCUUCACGCAUGCUACAAUGGCCGGUACAACGGGAUGCGACGCGGCGACGCGGAGCGGAUCCCUGAAAACCGGUCUCAGUUCGGAUCGCAGUCUGCAACUCGACUGCGUGAAGGCGGAGUCGCUAGUAAUCGCGAAUCAGCAACGUCGCGGUGAAUGCGUUCCCGGGCCUUGUACACACCGCCCGUCAAGUCAUGAAAGUGGGCAGCACCCGAAGCCGGUGGCCUAACCCCUUGUGGGAUGGAGCCGUCUAAGGUGAGGCUCGUGAUUGGGACUAAGUCGUAACAAGGUAACCAAUCGA